AUCUUAAUUUGCGUUCUGAAGAAUAACAAAGGUCUUACGGGUGUGGAACGACAUGAGGUGAAGGCCUGUGCAUCAUACAAUGCAGCAUGCAUGCAGUGGACAGCAGAAUGACUUUCACCCCAGAUAAAUCAACAAAACAUCAACUUCAACAGUCAGUUAACUGAAACAAUAUAAGAGAAGCUGCCAACAUCAGCGCAGUGACGCAGCAGAGACGGGGAGAAACAGCGACUCCCAGCGGACACACCUGCACAGCCCACCAGAGCAAAGAGGGAGCCGCGCGAACACGAGAGGGAAAGUGGCACACGAAUCCUGCACACUGUUCAUUAAAACGAAUGUAAUUUUAGAACGAUUCAUAUAAUAUAUGUAGGCCUUGUUUCACAGACAGGGCUUAGAUUAAACCAGGAUUAGGCCUUAGUUAAAUCAGGACAUUUAAGUAGCUUUUAUAAAGGUGCCUGACUGGGAUUCUGUGUGAUGCUGAGGCAGGAGCCGGCCAAUAAUGAGAAGCGUUUUGAUGUAGAACACGGAAGCUCUGAACGUAAACAGCGUAUGAGAAUGACACAGAAGAGAAGAUAUUGUUCAAUAAAGUCGUUAUUUUAUU